CAAGACGACGGCAACGAACAGACAAUCGAAUCGACGACGACGACGACGGGAAACGUGAAUAAAAAGAAAUCGUGGAAGUGGAAGAGAAAGAAGAAGAAAAAGGAAAUAGCAGUACACUUGCUCAUUAUGGAGGACAAAGUAUAAAUUUUAGCAUCGUUUCACACAGCGCAGCAAUGUAUUCAACAGGGUAACAACAAGCGAUCGAGGAUGUGCACCUGCUUUGCUGUGCGAUCCUCUUUGAUGUCAUUCUCUGGACUUUGAGUGUCACAAGAAGAGCAAGCGAGAGAAAGAGAGAAAACGCUGAGGGAGCAACAUCGCGAAAAAAGCGCCUUUCAAAGCGGAUACUCGUUUCCUCCUUUGCGCAAGAAUGAAACGUUUCGCCUUUUCACGCAUUUACCCGAAUACGCGUGUCGAUACUUGGUAUUCUACGAUAUGCGAAGCAAUUCUCUACAAGUGAAGUUGUCUGCAAGAUCACAAACAGUGGAAGCAAUUAUCGCUUCAUUCAAUGGCAAGAUUUGAGAAAUGGAAGUAGAAAUGACAAAAAAAGAUGCGCAACGACGUUCCUGAAAUCGACUGAUAAUCACCAUGUCAUUUACUUCAAUCUGACAUCAGUAAUUAUUUCAACUUGACUUUAACGCAUAUUUCAAGGACAAGCCUUCAAGUGACGCAUCAUGGCGGAUAAUCGUUUUGCAACAGCUGCAGUGCAUUGCACAUCGCAAUCACUUAUCGUCCUCGCGAGAGCAAUUUUUGUUCUCGAACGCGCGAGCGGCGUCCCCAGCGAAUAGAAAAGAAACUAAAUACUAGAAGCUAAAACUUCAGGUCCGCAACUUUAAGUCCCUCGCGAAUAAUCACCGGCCUAGGGGCGAGAGUCUCGGCAUACAUAACAGGCUGUGGUAGUCGACCGAUGACCGGCGCAGCCAGCUAAAAGAUUGCAGAAAAUCCGUCCGAGCGACGAGAUAAAUUCCCUCGCGUGUGCCGCGCGGACGUGCAAAACAAAAUUAGAAGAGAAAGACAAAACAAAAUAAAGAGGCUGAGGGCGGUGAAAAAGAAGAGAAGAAAAAAGAAAAAUAAAAUAAAAAAGCGAAAGAACGGAGCUUGAAAGGACGAGAAGUGGUCGUCCGAGCACGCUGAUAAACGCUGAGUAAUGGGGACGCAAAUUGCGUGCGAGGAAUACCGCGUGAGAAAUGAGUCCCCGAUGCAAAUUCUUGCGGCCGCGAGGGCGACGCGACGACCGAUGCUGCCGGACGCUGUAAUUCCGUCUAAACGGCACGACGCGAUCGCGAACGGGUCCGACCGAACGAAGCUGACCGUUCCUCGUCGUAUCCGUGACGAUCCGACGAGAAACGUGUAAUUUCCGGGAGAACUCGCCAAUUAGUGGAAAGCACACCGGUGGAGAAUCUCUGUUAAGUUAUACAACGUCGAGUAUCAACACGCCGAAGAUGGUAGACGGGUUACGUUACUACGUUAUUACAGCAUCGAUAACUCUCAACACGGUGUUCGCUACGAACCAAGAGAAUAUAGAAUCCGCGAGAUACUGACAGAAAUGGUCUUCGCGAACCAACGUGUAUAUACGAAAUUUUCGGCGCAGAUUAUUCUCCAACGUCAACAGCUCUUAACCCUGAUCUCGCGAUGCAGCAGCGUGACGAUAUUACGUCUCUGUAUAGUCUUCGUGAUAUUACGAGCCGACGUGUACAAACUUCGCGGUACUACAAACCAACGUGUAUAGUCUUCACAAUAGAGAGUGAUUCGGCGAGUCUGUAAGGCGUCUGUCGGUCUUGCCGGAGUUUCUGCGGCAUCAAUUACACCUCGCUUCCCAGGUUUGUUCCCCGGGAUUGAUGCGCAGACUCUUUGCCGGCAGAGUGACUGCGCGAUUAUUCGAGAAACGUAUAGUUCCGCUUUAACUAGAGGAAGCAACUUUGCUUCGUCCUCGAGAUCAGAUAUAUCUCAACGCAUCUUAUACUCUAUUGUAUAGCGUAUCUUUCUAUAAUAUACCGAGUUAUUAUAACGUAAUAAUAUAAAUAUAAGAAGAUUUAAAACAAAUUUUUCAUUAUUGAUCUCGAGUUAGUAAAAACGAAUCGAAGAUGCUUGCUAGGAGAUACUGGCAAGAAAUAAUUUUCCAGUGAUAAAGGCUAAUGCAAAAAAAAGUUUUUAUAUUAUAUAUACAAUAUUAAUAAAAAUAAUUUUACCAUUAUUUAAACAAUUUCUCUCGUAUUAUUGUUACAAAUAUUAAUAUAAACAGUUUAUCAAGCCGACUGCAAGUGAUUAUGUGUUUCAUGACAGUAAGGUUUUGAUCUUAAACGCCGCAAACGGAAGAAAGGAUCUAAAGAAAGUGUGGAUGCUUCAAGGUGAGAUAUUUCAUGGUGUAACGUAUCAGGGAUUAAGGCAAACUCCUUGAAACGGACCCUCGGAUUUGCCUACACGAUAGAAGGAACGUCGAGUGGCCAAGUCAUAGUGAAGCAAAAGUCGAGCGAAAUCCGUGCUCGAAACUUUCC